CCAAGUUUUGUGGUCUGCCAUGUUGUCCAUUCGGCUCAGCUAUUUAAAAAAUGUUGAAUAUCAACAAUGGCUUUCACUGGGGCAUUGUCAACUUUUGUAUGAAGCAAUCUUGGCUGAAUGCGAUGGCUCCCAGUGCAGGGAGGGCUCGGCUCAGCGCUGCUGCGGAAUGGAAGACUGCCGCUCGCCUGCCCUUCUGUCUCUCGUCUCGGCAUGGUGACAUGGUUUGAGAGUCUUACCUGGCUCUCUUCAGCUAAACAGUCUUCAGGACCCUAAAGAUGCAGAGGGAAGGAUUAUGAAGAACGGCUGUGCAAUGGUGAACAGAUUCAUCCCCAGGCACCCAAUCCAUUAUCCUGUCAACAACAGCAGGUCCCUGCCACAGUUAGCAGCAACACUGGCCGUAAUGAAAUCAUCAGUAAUCCCAAAACUCAUCUUAUCAUACCCAAGGUACAAGUGCUUAUCUUUUCUCGGACUGUAUGAUACCAUGACAAAACAGUUAAACAACAGGCUGUGGACACCAGUGGAAGACACAGGCUGUAGUCUUCAACAGUGAAUUACCUGUAGUACAUUUGCAUGCAGGUCUUAUACCACCAUGAUGGCACAUUUACUGGUCCACCCCACUUCUAUAUUUAAAUGGGUUGAGCUCAACAAAACAGGGACACUGAGCCCCCCUCUUACCGGGAUCAUCUGUCUGCCUGGUGGACGAGCUGCGUCCUGCCCACUGCACCCAAUUCACAUAGAAAUUUACUUAAAUAUUACAGAGGGUUUCAGGAGGAAGGAUUGCUGGAAGAGAUCAGCGGGACUCACUGAGUGGGCAGAGAAAAAUAGCCAGGCCAGUGAAGAUGGAUGGGUGACAGUCCCAUUGGUCACAGCGAUUCAGCACUCAGUCACCACGGAGACAAGCAGUGAAACCAGGAUUGCUGAAAGCCAAAUGAUUUGUGCUGUGAAAAAAAUUUAUAUUUUAGAUAAUUUUCUUAAACAUAAUUUAAUUUAUCAUGUAAAGUAAUGGAGCUUAAGCACAUUAAAUAAAUGCUCACCAUCAAAAUGGUGAUGUGAUAAGUUAUUUAAGCUAAAUUUGCAACCCUGUUUUUUAAUUGAAAAUUUAAAAAUGUUAUGCUAAUUUAGUGUUUAUAUCUAUUUAACAUUUU